AAUAAAGAACUAAAAUUUAGGCUCAUUUUGAUAGAAUGACUUUAGCUAUUAAGCCUUUAUUU
rnacentral:tRNA from 1 species